rnacentral:rRNA from 1 species
ACAUGCAAGUCGAACGGCAGCACAGGAGAGCUUGCUCUCUGGGUGGCGAGUGGCGGACGGGUGAGGAAUACAUCGGAAUCUACUCUGUCGUGGGGGAUAACGUAGGGAAACUUACGCUAAUACCGCAUACGACCUACGGGUGAAAGCAGGGGAUCUUCGGACCUUGCGCGAUUGAAUGAGCCGAUGUCGGAUUAGCUAGUUGGCGGGGUAAAGGCCCACCAAGGCGACGAUCCGUAGCUGGUCUGAGAGGAUGAUCAGCCACACUGGAACUGAGACACGGUCCAGACUCCUACGGGAGGCAGCAGUGGGGAAUAUUGGACAAUGGGCGCAAGCCUGAUCCAGCCAUACCGCGUGGGUGAAGAAGGCCUUCGGGUUGUAAAGCCCUUUUGUUGGGAAAGAAAUCCAGCCGGCUAAUACCUGGUUGGGAUGACGGUACCCAAAGAAUAAGCACCGGCUAACUUCGUGCCAGCAGCCGCGGUAAUACGAAGGGUGCAAGCGUUACUCGGAAUUACUGGGCGUAAAGCGUGCGUAUGUGGU